CUUCUCCUGGUCACUCAAGCUUGAGUGUUCUUUCCUUUCUCAAUCCUCACUCCCCAACUCAGUCAUGUUCCUGUUGUGAGGGCUGGGCUGCCACAAGUGGCGCCCAAACAGGACCUGAGUAUCAAGGGAUCUACUGAAGGACACUGCAGAGAAGAAGGAGCGGCAAGUUUUCUUGCCGGGCGGUCCUGGCAGACGUGCUAAUGGACUCCAUGCCACAGCGGCUGAGAGACCUCCCUUGCCCCUCUGGAAGCUGAUUGUGCAGGAGUCAACUGGGGAAACAACAGCAGGAAAUUAUGCAUUCGAUGGGAACUGGGCUUCAGAGAGGACACAUGGGCCUCAGCACCAUUCCCAACAUGAGCCCUGAACACAGCACGAAGACUUCAAGGCAAGACCCAGGAACACUCUCUGCCAAGGUUCACGGAGGGAGGGAAGCAGAUUCAGACAGACACCACUAGUACAGGCACUCAAGGCCUGGGGAAAGCCUUAAACCCACUGAGA